rnacentral:rRNA from 1 species
AUGUCUGUUGCUGAGAACACCAAGUUGUGUGACUUUACUAGCACCAACAAUAAUGAUUUUAGCUGUACACCUAUUGCUCCACCUGCUGAGACUGCUUUCUAUGAAAUUAAGUUUGCUUUGUUGAAUCUAGUUAUGAGAGAGCAAUUUUCUGGUGUUAGUACUGAUGAUGCUGCUACUCACCUCAAUAAUUUUGUUGAGUUAUGUGAGAUGCAAAGGCUCAAAGAUAUAGAUGGGGAUCUUGUUAAGCUUAAACUGUUUCCUUUCUCUUUAAGAGGAAGAGCUAAAGAAUGGUUGUUGUCUUUGCCUAAAAAUAGUAUUGAUUCUUGGGUUAAGUGCAAAGAUGCUUUUAUAGGAAAGUAUUAUCCCCCUGCUAAGAUUAUUUCCAUGAGGAGUGACAUUAUGAAGUUUAAACAGUUUGAUAAUGAGCAUGUUGCUCAAGCUUGGGAAAGAAUGAAGUCUUUGGUAAAGAAUUGCCCCACUCAUGGACUGUCUACUUGGAUGAUUAUCCAAACUUUUUAUGCAGGACUGAAUUUUUCUUCAAGAAAUCUUUUGGAUUCAGCUGCUGGAGGAACCUUUAUGUCUCUCACCUUGGGGGCUGCCACAAAGCUUCUUGAUAAUAUGAUGACAAACUACUCUGAAUGGCACAUUGAAAGGGCUCCACAAGGUAAGAAGACCUUUCCUGAGAACUGUUGGUGCUACCAUUGA